AAAACAUGUCUUUUUGAUAAAAAUUUAAAGUCAGGUCUGCUCACUGAAUUAUUUUAAAGAGCCGCAGUAUAUUGACUGUGCAAAGGUAGCAUAAUCAAUAGUUUUUUAAUUGAAAACUAGAAUGAAAGAUUAGACGAGAAAUUAAUUUUCUUUAUUUUAAUAAAUUUAAUUUUAAAUUUAAGUGAAAAUGCUUAAAUAUAAUUAAAAGACGAGAAGACCCUAUAGAUUUUUAUUAUUGAAAUAAAUUUUUAAAUUUAAUUUAACAAAAUAAUUUAAUUGGGGCGAUUUUAUAAUAUAAAUAACUUAAUUUUUUAAAACCAUAAAUAAUUGAAUAUUUGAUCUAAAAUUUUUAAAGAAAAGAUUAAAUUACCUUAGGGAUAACAGCGUAAUUUUAUUUAAGAGUUCAUAUCUAUAAUAAAGUUUGCGACCUCGAUGUUGAAUUAAGAUAAUAUAUUGGAGUAGAAAUUAAUAUAAUUAGUCUGUUCGACUAUUAAAUUCUUACGUGAUCUG
rnacentral:rRNA from 1 species